UGGAGUUGUCGCUUUUCUUAGACGUA
rnacentral:piRNA from 1 species